rnacentral:rRNA from 1 species
UACGGAGGGUGCAAGCGUUGCUCGGAAUUAUUGGGCGUAAAGAGCUCGUAGGCGGUUUGUCGCGUCUGCUGUGAAAACCUAAGGCUCAACCUUGGGCUUGCAGUGGGUACGGGCAGACUAGAGUGCGGUAGGGGUGACUGGAAUUCCUGGUGUAGCGGUGGAAUGCGCAGAUAUCAGGAGGAACACCGAUGGCGAAGGCAGGUCACUGGGCCGCAACUGACGCUGAGGAGCGAAAGCAUGGGGAGCGAACAGG